rnacentral:rRNA from 1 species
GACAGCAGCCGCUACCGGCGUGCCUAAACAUGCAAGCGCGAGCGGCAGAUGGGAGCUUGCUCCCUGAUGUUAGCGGCGGACGGGUGAGUAACACGUGGGUAACCUGCCUGUAAGACUGGGAUAACUCCGGGAAACCGGGGCUAAUACCGGAUGGUUGUUUGAACCGCAUGGUUCAAACAUAAAAGGUGGCUUCGGCUACCACUUACAGAUGGACCCGCGGCGCAUUAGCUAGUUGGUGAGGUAACGGCUCACCAAGGCAACGAUGCGUAGCCGACCUGAGAGGGUGAUCGGCCACACUGGGACUGAGACACGGCCCAGACUCCUACGGGAGGCAGCAGUAGGGAAUCUUCCGCAAUGGACGAAAGUCUGACGGAGCAACGCCGCGUGAGUGAUGAAGGUUUUCGGAUCGUAAAGCUCUGUUGUUAGGGAAGAACAAGUACCGUUCGAAUAGGGCGGUACCUUGACGGUACCUAACCAGAAAGCCACGGCUAACUACGUGCCAGCAGCCGCGUUAAUAA